GAACUCUCCACAAUCUCAAAGAGCUUGGGUUUCCCAAGUUCAUCCUUGGUUGCACCUACAAGUCCCUAAAGAGAGUGGCAAGAGCACAUAGUAGAAGGCUGAGAAGAAAUAAUGAGUUCUUGUGCCACAUGGGAUUUGCCAGUUUCAAAAUUCAACAGAGGACUAAAAUGGCUGUAGCAUUCACUGGGAUCUUUAUACUUGGAUCAUGAGAUGAUGGAUCUGGCAUACACCACUCAGAAGCCCCUUUCAGGACCAAGGUACUCAUUUCCUCAGCUGUCAUGAUUGUUGACUGCUAAUGGUUCACAGCUGGGUCUCAGGUCAGUAUUUGUGGAGAAAGGAAGCUGAGAUCCAGUGACUGGUUCCAGUGGCCUCCUCACCUCAAUCUGGGAAAUCUCUGAAGCACCAUUACAGUACCAAAGAUGCCAGUGAGACCAGCUAAGACCUCUAUUGCAACCACAUGGUGGUUCAUUUCUCCUUUCCACAGCCCUGC